CGCAGGAAGCGGACGGAGCGGUGGCAGCGCCAGCAUGCGUGCGGGGCUCGGGCAGGCGUUGCGGGGGCUGCUGCUGCUCUCGGCUCGCAGCUGCUCCUGCUCUGCAGCGGGAAGGAGGAGGUGGCUGGUGCCGCCGCUGCCGCGCUGCAGCUGGCUCAGCACCAUGGCCCAGUGCAGCACGGAGCAGCGGGGGCGGCCCUACUCGCCCGAGUACCGCCUCUACUUUAAGAAUGCGGAGGGUAAAUAUAUUUCCCCGUUUCAUGACAUUCCUCUGCUUGCUGGAUCUAAAGAGGAUAAGGAGGUUCCUGCGAAGAGAUCAAAGACUAAAGGAAGCGAGGUAGUGUUUAACAUGGUUGUAGAAGUGCCUCGCUGGUCAAACGCUAAAAUGGAGAUUGCCACCAAGGAACCAUUGAAUCCCAUUAAACAAGAUAUAAAGAAAGGCAAGCUUCGAUAUGUGGCCAAUAUCUUUCCUCACAAGGGUUAUAUAUGGAAUUAUGGUGCCCUCCCUCAGACUUGGGAAGAUCCACACCAUAAAGAUAAGGAUACAGGAUGCUGUGGUGAUAAUGAUCCCAUUGAUGUGUGUGAAAUAGGCACAAAGGUUCACUCUCCUGGUGAGAUCAUUCAGGUAAAGGUUCUUGGAGUUAUGGCUCUUAUUGAUGAAGGAGAGACAGAUUGGAAGAUUAUUGCCAUCAGUGUGGAUGACCCAGAAGCCCAGAAAAUUCAUGAUAUUGAUGAUGUCAAGAAACACAAACCGGGUUAUCUUGAGGCUACAGCUGAGUGGUUCCGAUUAUAUAAGGUCCCAGAUGACAAACCGGAAAAUCAGUUUGCUUUUAAUGGAGAGUUUAAAGACAAGGAUUUUGCUGUUGAAAUUAUUAAAUCCACCCAUGAAUACUGGAAAGCUUUGCUUCAUAAAAAGGCUGAUCCAGGUGCUAUAAAAUGUACGAAUGUUUUGGUGCAUGACAGCCCCUUUUGUUGCAGUGAAGAGGAAGCCAGGUUAAUUGUGCAAUCAGCACCACCUCCUGCGAGUGGAGAUUCUGUUUCUGCAGAAGGUGUCCAGUCAUCCUACAGCCUUCUAGCCUGGAUGGACCAAACUUCUGUUUAAAUUUGCAGAUCACCUGAAAAUUAAGCGCAAAGAAACUGAGGGCUGGAUGUGGUGGUGUAGUUUAAGAAAGGAUUUUAAGUUUGUGAAAUCACUUUCUGUGCUAAACCACUGUGUUUCAUCCCAGAGGUGGCUGAAGUUCUUGGAUCAAAGAGCCCUCUACUAUCAGAAGUCUUCUUCCUGUUGGAAGGUGCACCCGUACUGUUUGUGAUGCAGCUGAAUAAAGCAGCAAGUCCCCAGUCUUCAGUCCUCAGUGAUUUUUACCUAAUACUUCACGGAAAGAUGACACCCUACCAACCAUCACGUGCACUUUGGGCUGACUUUUAAGGUGUUUAUUCAAGUAUUUGCAGCAUUCUGUUGUUUUAAGCUCCUGAGCAAUGACGAGAGCAGCACAGCACUCUCCUUCAGAAUCACCUUCCUGACUCCUUCUCAUUAUAAAAUCAACCUACUAAUAAAAAAAUUGACUAAGCUUUGCUUCUAGGGAUGUAUAAGUCUAAGCUUGGAAACAUAUGAAUAGAUUUAGGAGCCAUUUUGGUUUGGAACUAAGAAUUCAAAAAUGUGUCCAUAGCUUUGAGGUGUGUGAAAGACAGCAGAGCAUGUAGGAAGGAGGUUAUCCUGGAGAUGGGUCUGCUUCCAAGUUAUUCAGAAUUAAACUAAAUUAGCCACUUCAUCAUGUAAUUAAAAUAGCUCAAUUGGAACCUCCCUGAGUAAGAUUUUUGUUAGCAUGGGUUUCACAUUUUGACCUUCUGUUAAUGUAAUGUUUAAUUAAAUGUAUGAAAACUAGUUUUCUAAUUGCUUCUUCCUUUGCGUGUUCUCUUGUGAUCUCUACUGCAAACAUUGUGUAAAUGUGUCAGGAUCAAAAAUAAAGUUAACUAAUUCAAA